GCAGUAGCCGCGGUAAUACGUAGGUGGCAAGCGUUGUCCGGAAUUAUUGGGCGUAAAGGGCUCGCAGGCGGUUUCUUAAGUCUGAUGUGAAAGCCCCCGGCUCAACCGGGGAGGGUCAUUGGAAACUGGGAAACUUGAGUGCAGAAGAGGAGAGUGGAAUUCCACGUGUAGCGGUGAAAUGCGUAGAGAUGUGGAGGAACACCAGUGGCGAAGGCGACUCUCUGGUCUGUAACUGACGCUGAGGAGCGAAAGCGUGGGGAGCGAACAGGAUUAGAUACCCCUGUAGUCCCUGUCUCUUAUAC
rnacentral:rRNA from 1 species